rnacentral:misc_RNA from 1 species
CAAGAAACGAGGCUGCGUGCGCUCAUCCGCCCAGCCCCGCUUAUUACCUUGCCUACUGCACCGUUUGUUGCUUCCUGGCGGCGGACUGCCUGCCGCCAGGUACAUUGACACAACCUUGUAUAAGCAUUGAAGCCCUGAAAUACGCGAAAUCGUA